rnacentral:rRNA from 1 species
UUUAAAGUCUAAUCUGCCCAAUGAUAAGUUAAAUGGCCGCGGUAUUUUGACCGUGCAAAGGUAGCAUAAUCAUUAGUUUUUUAAUUGGAAGCUGGUAUGAACGAUUGGACGAGGGAAUGACUGUCUCUGUUUAAUUAAUUUGAAUUUUAUUUUUUAGUAAAAAAGCUGAGAUUAUUUUAAUAGACGAGAAGACCCUAUAGAGUUUUAUAUUAAUUAAUAUAUUUGUUUUGUGGAAAAUUUUUAUUGGUAUUUAUUAUAUAUUUUGUUGGGGCGAUAGAAAAAUUUAAUAAACUUUUUUUAAAAAAAAUCAUUAAUUUAUGAUUAUGUGAUCCAUGUUUUAUGAUUACAAGAUUAAAUUACCUUAGGGAUAACAGCGUUAUUUUUUUUUAGAGUUCUAAUCGAAAAAAGAGUUUGCGACCUCGAUGUUGGAUUAAAAUUAACUUUUGGUGUAGGGGCUAAAUGGUUAGGUCUGUUCGACCUUUAAAAUUUUACAUGAUCUGAGUUUAGACCGGCGUGAGCCAGGUCGGUUUCUAUCUUUAAGAUUUAUUGAAUAUUUUAGUACGAAAGGAUCAAAUAUUUAAAAUAAUUUUUUUAUUUGGAAUAAAAUUAA